GCACCAACAUGGAUGGCGUCAUACGGCGCCUCCUCUGUGUGACCCAUCCUCCCGUCGCCCACUGGAAGAAACGCAGCAGGAAAUCAGGCUACCAGACUCACCACAACACCGACACAUCUUGUGCCAGCAGCAGGGAAAGCCAACUGCAGCCAGUUUCUCCUUACUCGCUCUCCUCACCCUCACAGCUACGCGCCACUUCAGGACACAACAACCACAAUCUGCACAAGCUGCUACAUGGACACCUACGACAAACUGCUCAAACCUAAAUUGCAAAUAAAGCCACACUUCAAGCUG